rnacentral:rRNA from 1 species
GACGAACGCUGGCGGCGUGCUUAACACAUGCAAGUCGAACGGAAAGGCCUCUUUCGGGGGGUACUCGAGUGGCGAACGGGUGAGUAACACGUGAGUAACCUGCCCUUGACUUUGGGAUAACUUCAGGAAACUGGGGCUAAUACCGGAUAGGAGCUCCUGCUGCAUGGUGGGGGUUGGAAAGUUUCGGCGGUUGGGGAUGGACUCGCGGCUUAUCAGCUUGUUGGUGGGGUAGUGGCUUACCAAGGCUUUGACGGGUAGCCGGCCUGAGAGGGUGACCGGCCACAUUGGGACUGAGAUACGGCCCAAACUCCUACGGGAGGCAGCAGUGGGGAAUAUUGCACAAUGGGUGGAAGCCUGAUGCAGCAACGCCGUGUGCGGGAUGACGGCCUUCGGGUUGUAAACCGCUUUCGCUCAUGACGAAGCUUUGUGUGACGGUAGUGGGUAAAGAAGCACCGGCUAACUACGUG